rnacentral:lncRNA from 1 species
ACCUCGUGGAGGGUGUAACAACCCUAUGGAUGAUUGAAUGAGGUGUAGUAACCUCGUGGAGGGUGUAACAACCCUAUGGAUGAUUGAAUGGUCGCACGUGUGCUUAAACCUUUCAAAAUAAUUUUUUGUUGAUUGUUUUGUAUUUAUUUUAAAGUAGAUAAAAUAAAAUAAAUAGGUAAAUAAAUAAAUAAAAUAAAAGUGGAAAAAUAGAAAUAGAUAAAUAACUAAGUAAAAUAAAAAGUAAAAAAUAAACUAAAAAUUGACUGAUAAAAUAAUAAGAAAAUAAUAAGUAAGAGGUGUCUAAGUCACUUUGUUUCUAAUAACAGACUGGGCUUAAGCCCAAGUGGACAGGAGGUGUGAAAAUGAAACAAGGGGUUGCAGGGAGGAAGAUUUUUUUUAAAGGCAGAAUGGGCUUAAGCCUAAACAGAAGGGGUGUCAAGAUGGGAAGUGGGGUGUGCUGGGAAGAAUUCUCCUGAGCCCCAACCAAGGGAAUGGACAUGGGGUGUGCAGGUAGAAACGGGCAUGGAACAGUUUUUUUUUUAAAAAGAAAGGAGUUGGAGCCCAACAAUUUGGCCCAAGUGCUUCAGCAGAAGAUUAAGGGUUCUGCCGCCCAUCUCAUUUCACCAUUUGCGCGUUCAGCAACUAAAAGACACAGGUCUCUUCCUCUCUGUAGAAAAACAGAAAAAUCCUAAGACACUCAAACGCCGACAGUCGUGCCGUCUUCACCUCCGUCCGAAUCUGCCACCACGCCGCUCAACCAGCAUUGGCGUCGCCGGCAACAUAACCCCUUUCGAGAGGGAGCAGCGAUUUCACAUCCUUCAUCGCUACGCGUACGCAGUCGUCAACCUACCCCGACUAGCCACUGUGGCAGAUCCCCUACUCCGUCCAAGGCGCCGCCGGCGACCAAACCACUGUAGCUGUCGCCAGCCUAGACGUGAAAUCCCUCUUUCCCCUUCCUCGCGCGAGAACAUGGAAGCGUCAUGCUUCUUCCCUUCAACCGACCACCACCGCGAGUCGCCGUCGUCGCGAGACGCCGUCGUCGCGAGACGCCGUCACAGAAACAACAACUCUUUGUCGGACUACCACUGUGCAACCACCGCGCCUCCGGAAGUCAACGCGAACUCUAGUCGCUGCAGCCACAACAAUCACCACACGAAAAUCCUCUUUUAUUCUCAUUACACUCUGUUCUACCACACACACUCAUUCUAAUUUAGGUUUGAAUCUCACCUUGAUGAGAUUUUACGUGUUCUUGUUGUUUUCCUUGUUUGGGCGUUUGCAGGUUACAGGCCAUGAAUCACUUGGUUUCAAGGAGGAUUUGGCAUAGAGUGUUGUUGUUGUAUAUCUUAGUUUUUGAUUGCUUGAAUGCUUUGCAGUGCGUUUUCUAGGCAUUUCUGGAUGUAAGUAAAGAGGUUAUUGGGGUCUUGCUGUUGGGGAUACAUGUCCAUGUUCCAUUCUCAAUUAAAUAUGAUAGAUUUUGCAGGCAUUGAAACUGCGUUUUGGGUGCAGUUUUGAUUGACAGAGGAUAUCACAAAGUAAGCGAACACAACCAUAUACACGCAUAUUUCAUUCAUAUGUAACAGAGGCAUGUUUCAUUCAUAUC